rnacentral:rRNA from 1 species
UUAAGCGACUAAGCGUACACGGUGGAUGCCCUGGCAGUCAGAGGCGAUGAAGGACGUGCUAAAUCUGCGAUAAGCGUCGGUAAGGUGAUAUGAACCGUUAUAACCGGCGAUUUCCGAAUGGGGAAACCCAGUGUGAUUCGUCACACUAUCAUUAACUGAAUCCAUAGGUUAAUGAGGCGAACCGGGGGAACUGAAACAUCUAAGUACCCCGAGGAAAAGAAAUCAACCGAGAUUCCCCCAGUAGCGGCGAGCGAACGGGGAGCAGCCCAGAGCCUGAAUCAGUGUGUGUGUUAGUGGAAGCGUCUGGAAAGGCGUGCGAUACAGGGUGACAGCCCCGUACACAAAAAUGCACAUACUGUGAGCUCGAUGAGUAGGGCGGGACACGUGGUAUCCUGUCUGAAUAUGGGGGGACCAUCCUCCAAGGCUAAAUACUCCUGACUGACCGAUAGUGAACCAGUACCGUGAGGGAAAGGCGAAAAGAACCCCGGCGAGGGGAGUGAAAAAGAACCUGAAACCGUGUACGUACAAGCAGUGGGAGCACGCUUAGGCGUGUGACUGCGUACCUUUUGUAUAAUGGGUCAGCGACUUAUAUUCUGUAGCAAGGUUAACCGAAUAGGGGAGCCGAAGGGAAACCGAGUCUUAACUGGGCGUUAAGUUGCAGGGUAUAGACCCGAAACCCGGUGAUCUAGCCAUGGGCAGGUUGAAGGUUGGGUAACACUAACUGGAGGACCGAACCGACUAAUGUUGAAAAAUUAGCGGAUGACUUGUGGCUGGGGGUGAAAGGCCAAUCAAACCGGGAGAUAGCUGGUUCUCCCCGAAAGCUAUUUAGGUAGCGCCUCGUGAAUUCAUCUCCGGGGGUAGAGCACUGUUUCGGCAAGGGGGUCAUCCCGACUUACCAACCCGAUGCAAACUGCGAAUACCGGAGAAUGUUAUCACGGGAGACACACGGCGGGUGCUAACGUCCGUCGUGAAGAGGGAAAUAACCCAGACCGCCAGCUAAGGUCCCAAAGUCAUGGUUAAAGUGGGAAACGAUGUGGGAAGGCCCAGACAGCCAGGAUGUUGGCUUAGAAGCAGCCAUCAUUUAAAGAAAGCGUAAUAGCUCACUGGUCGAGUCGGCCUGCGCGGAAGAUGUAACGGGGCUAAACCAUGCACCGAAGCUGCGGCAGCGACGCUUAUGCGUUGUUGGGUAGGGGAGCGUUCUGUAAGCCUGUGAAGGUGUGCUGUGAGGUAUGCUGGAGGUAUCAGAAGUGCGAAUGCUGACAUAAGUAACGAUAAAGCGGGUGAAAAGCCCGCUCGCCGGAAGACCAAGGGUUCCUGUCCAACGUUAAUCGGGGCAGGGUGAGUCGACCCCUAAGGCGAGGCCGAAAGGCGUAGUCGAUGGGAAACAGGUUAAUAUUCCUGUACUUGGUGUUACUGCGAAGGGGGGACGGAGAAGGCUAUGUUGGCCGGGCGACGGUUGUCCCGGUUUAAGCGUGUAGGCUGGUUUUCCAGGCAAAUCCGGAAAAUCAAGGCCGAGGCGUGAUGACGAGGCACUACGGUGCUGAAGCAACAAAUGCCCUGCUUCCAGGAAAAGCCUCUAAGCAUCAGGUAACAUCAAAUCGUACCCCAAACCGACACAGGUGGUCAGGUAGAGAAUACCAAGGCGCUUGAGAGAACUCGGGUGAAGGAACUAGGCAAAAUGGUGCCGUAACUUCGGGAGAAGGCACGCUGAUACGUAGGUGAAGCGACUUGCUCGUGGAGCUGAAAUCAGUCGAAGAUACCAGCUGGCUGCAACUGUUUAUUAAAAACACAGCACUGUGCAAACACGAAAGUGGACGUAUACGGUGUGACGCCUGCCCGGUGCCGGAAGGUUAAUUGAUGGGGUUAGCGCAAGCGAAGCUCUUGAUCGAAGCCCCGGUAAACGGCGGCCGUAACUAUAACGGUCCUAAGGUAGCGAAAUUCCUUGUCGGGUAAGUUCCGACCUGCACGAAUGGCGUAAUGAUGGCCAGGCUGUCUCCACCCGAGACUCAGUGAAAUUGAACUCGCUGUGAAGAUGCAGUGUACCCGCGGCAAGACGGAAAGACCCCGUGAACCUUUACUAUAGCUUGACACUGAACAUUGAGCCUUGAUGUGUAGGAUAGGUGGGAGGCUUUGAAGUGUGGACGCCAGUCUGCAUGGAGCCGACCUUGAAAUACCACCCUUUAAUGUUUGAUGUUCUAACGUGGACCCGUGAUCCGGGUUGCGGACAGUGUCUGGUGGGUAGUUUGACUGGGGCGGUCUCCUCCUAAAGAGUAACGGAGGAGCACGAAGGUUGGCUAAUCCUGGUCGGACAUCAGGAGGUUAGUGCAAUGGCAUAAGCCAGCUUGACUGCGAGCGUGACGGCGCGAGCAGGUGCGAAAGCAGGUCAUAGUGAUCCGGUGGUUCUGAAUGGAAGGGCCAUCGCUCAACGGAUAAAAGGUACUCCGGGGAUAACAGGCUGAUACCGCCCAAGAGUUCAUAUCGACGGCGGUGUUUGGCACCUCGAUGUCGGCUCAUCACAUCCUGGGGCUGAAGUAGGUCCCAAGGGUAUGGCUGUUCGCCAUUUAAAGUGGUACGCGAGCUGGGUUUAGAACGUCGUGAGACAGUUCGGUCCCUAUCUGCCGUGGGCGCUGGAGAACUGAGGGGGGCUGCUCCUAGUACGAGAGGACCGGAGUGGACGCAUCACUGGUGUUCGGGUUGUCAUGCCAAUGGCACUGCCCGGUAGCUAAAUGCGGAAGAGAUAAGUGCUGAAAGCAUCUAAGCACGAAACUUGCCCCGAGAUGAGUUCUCCCUGACCCUUUAAGGGUCCUGAAGGAACGUUGAAGACGACGACGUUGAUAGGCCGGGUGUGUAAGCGCAGCGAUGCGUUGAGCUAACCGGUACUAAUGAACCGUGAGGCUUAACCUU